ACACGACUACAUUAGAUACCCGGGUAGUCCUGGCCGUAAACGAUGUGGACUUGGUGUUGGAAUGGCUCCGAGCUGCUCCAGUGCCGAAGGGAAGCUGUUAAGUCCACCGCCUGGGAAGUACGGUCGCAAGACUGAAACUUAAAGGAAUUGGCGGGGAGCACCACAACGCGUGGAGCCUGCGGUUUAAUUGGACUCAACGCCGGGAAGCUCACCGGAUAGGACAGCAGAAUGAUUGCCGGGCUGAAGACCCUGCAUGACUAGCUG
rnacentral:rRNA from 1 species